rnacentral:rRNA from 1 species
AACGUAGGAGACAAACGUUAUCCGGAGUUACUGGGCGUAAAGGGCGUGCAGGUGGUCUGUUAAGUCUGGCGUGAAAGCUCUCGGCUAAACCGGGAGAGGUCGUUGGAUACUGGCGGACUAGAGGACGGUAGAGGCGUGUGGAAUUCCUGGUGUAGCGGUGAAAUGCGCAGAUAUCAGGAGGAACACCGGUGGCGAAGGCGGUGGUCUGGGCCGUUACUGACGCUGAGGAGCGAAAGCCAGGGGAGCGAACGGG